GCGUGCCUAACACAUGCAAGUCGAACGGAGCGCCCGGACGGAGUAUUUCGGUAUGAAGACCAGGUGACUGAGUGGCGGACGGGUGAGUAACGCGUGGACAACCUGCCGUGUACAGGGGGAUAACAGCCGGAAACGGCUGCUAAUACCGCAUAUGCGCACAGUGCCGCAUGGCACAGGGCGGAAAGCCUAGAUCUUAUCUAGUACGGUACACGAUGGGUCCGCGUCUGAUUAGGUAGUUGGCGGGGUAACGGCCCACCAAGCCCACGAUCAGUAGCCGGCCUGAGAGGGCGGACGGCCACACUGGGACUGAGACACGGCCCAGACUCCUGCGGGAGGCAGCAGUGGGGAAUAUUGCACAAUGGGGGGAACCCUGAUGCAGCGACGCCGCGUGAAGGAAGAAGUAUCUCGGUAUGUAAACUUCUAUCAGCAGGGAAGAAAGAGGACGGUACCUGACUAAGAAGCCCCGGCUAACUACGUGCCAGCAGCCGCGGUAAUACGUAGGGGGCGAGCGUUAUCCGGAUUUACUGGGUGUAAAGGGAGCGUAGACGGCCAUGCAAGCUCGGUGUGAAAGGUGCGGGCACAACCCGCAGACUGCACUGAGAACUGUAUGGCUGGAGUGCCGGAGGGGCAGGCGGAAUUCCUGUGUAGCGGUGAAAUGCGUAGAUAUCAGGAGGAACACCGGUGGCGAAGGCGGCCUGCUGGACGGCGACUGACGUUGAGGCUCGAAAGCGUGGGGAGCGAACAGGAUUAGAUACCCUGGUAGUCCACGCCGUAAACGAUGUAUACCAGGUGUCGGGGUACAAAGUGCUUCGGUGCCGCCGCAAACGCAGUAAGUAAUCCACCUGGGGAGUACGUUCGCAAGAAUGAAACUCAAAGGAAUUGACGGGGACCCGCACAAGCGGUGGAGCAUGUGGUUUAAUUCGAUGCAACGCGAAGAACCUUACCCGGCCUUGACAUCCUCCCGAAUGCUGUGUAAUGGCAGCAGGCCUUCGGGACGGGAGAGACAGGUGGUGCAUGGUUGUCGUCAGCUCGUGUCGUGAGAUGUUGGGUUAAGUCCCGCAACGAGCGCAACCCUUACGUCCAGUAGCCAGCAGGUAGAGCUGGGCACUCUGGAGGGACAGCCUGGGAUAACCAGGAGGAAGGCGGGGACGACGUCAAAUCAUCAUGCCCCUUAUGGCCGGGGCUACACACGUGCUACAAUGGCGUAAACAGAGGGAAGCGAGAUAGCGAUAUUAAGCGAAGCCCAAAAAUAACGUCUCAGUUCGGAUUGCAGCCUGCAACUCGGCUGCAUGAAGCCGGAAUCGCUAGUAAUCGCGGAUCAGAAUGCCGCGGUGAAUACGUUCCCGGGUC
rnacentral:rRNA from 1 species